rnacentral:rRNA from 1 species
ACUACGCGAGACAGCAGUGGGGAAUAUUGCACAAUGGGGGAAACCCUGAUGCAGCGACGCCGCGUGAGUGAAGAAGUAUUUCGGUACGUAAAGCCCUAUCAGCAGGGAAGAAAAUGACGGUACCUGACUAAGAAGCCCCGGCUAACUACGUGCCAGCAGCCGCGGUAAUACGUAGGGGGCAAGCGUUAUCCGGAUUUACUGGGUGUAAAGGGAGCGUAGACGGCAGCGCAAGUCUGGAGUGAAAUCCCAUGGCUUAACCAUGGAACUGCUUUGGAAACUGUGCAGCUAGAGUGCAGGAGAGGUAAGCGGAAUUCCUAGUGUAGCGGUGAAAUGCGUAGAUAUUAGGAGGAACACCAGUGGCGAAGGCGGCUUACUGGACUGUAACUGACGUUGAGGCUCGAAAGCGUGGGGAGCAAACAGGAUUAGAUACCCGUGUAGUA